rnacentral:rRNA from 1 species
AUUGAACGCUGGCGGCAGGCCUAACACAUGCAAGUCGAGCGGAUGACGGGAGCUUGCUCCUUGAUUCAGCGGCGGACGGGUGAGUAAUGCCUAGGAAUCUGCCUGGUAGUGGGGGACAACGUUUCGAAAGGAACGCUAAUACCGCAUACGUCCUACGGGAGAAAGCAGGGGACCUUCGGGCCUUGCGCUAUCAGAUGAGCCUAGGUCGGAUUAGCUUGUUGGUGAGGUAAUGGCUCACCAAGGCGACGAUCCGUAACUGGUCUGAGAGGAUGAUCAGUAACACUGGAACUGAGACACGGUCCAGACUCCUACGGGAGGCAGCAGUGGGGAAUAUUGGACAAUGGGCGAAAGCCUGAUCCAGCCAUGCCGCGUGUGUGAAGAAGGUCUUCGGAUUGUAAAGCCCUUUAAGUUGGGAGGAAGGGUUGUAGAUUGAUACUCUGCAAUUUUGACGUUACCGACAGAAUAAGCACCGGCUAACUCUGUGCCAGCCGCCGCGGUAA